rnacentral:rRNA from 1 species
AUUGAACGCUGGCGGCAUGCUUUACACAUGCAAGUCGGACGGUAACAGGCCGCAAGGUGCUGACGAGUGGCGUACGGGUGAGUAAUGCAUCGGAACGUGCCCAGUCGUGGGGGAUAACUACUCGAAGGAGUAGCUAAUACCGCAUACGAUCUAUGUAUGAAAGCGGGGGACCGUAAGGCCUCGCGCGAUUGGAUCGGCCGAUGUCGGAUUAGGUAGUUGGUGGGGUAAAGGUUCACCAAGCCAACGAUCUGUAGCUGGUCUGAGAGGACAACCAGCCACACUGGGAAUGAGAAACGGCCCAGAAUCCUAAGGGAGGCAGCAGUGGGAAAUUUUGGACAAUGGGCGGAAGCCUGAACCAGCAAUGCGGCGUGAAGGAAGAAGGCCUUCGGGUUGUAAACUGCUUUUGUACGGAACGAAAAGGCUCUGGUUAAUACCCGGGGCUAAGGACGGUACCGUAAGAAUAAGCACCGGCUAACUACGU